rnacentral:rRNA from 1 species
UAAAAAUGUAAAAUUUUAACUAAAAAAUUAGUAGUUAUGAUCUUUAAAUUUAAAAAAUUUGGCGGUAUUUUAGUCUAUUCAGAGGAACCUGUUCUAUAAUUGAUAAUCCACGAUUAGAAAUACUUAAUUUAAAAGUUUGUAUAUCGUUGUUUAAAUAAUUUUAUAAGAAAAAUAAUUAUUAAGGUAUUUAAUUAAAUAAAUAAUCAAAUCAAGGUGCAGUUUAUAUUUAAGAAGAAAUGGGUUACAAUAAAAAUUAUUUAUAUGAAUUAUAUUAUUAAAUUAAUAUAUAAAGGAGGAUUUGAUAGUAAAUAUAUAUAUAUAUAUAUAUUGAUUAAAGCUCUAUAAUAUGU